AAAGUCUGCUUGAAGUGUGGAGUCAGCAACAACUCCAAGGUUUGGCUUUUGAGAUGAGAAUUCUCCGUGCAGAUGCAAAGAGGAAAAGAAUUCUGCCCCCUCCCAGUAAUGCUGGGAAACCUGGAGUCCGCGCUGUGACUCACCGAAUGACGCCUGGAGAGUGCAGGCGCCCCGCCAGUCAGGGAGACAGGACUUCCCUCACUGGGCUGAAGAUAGCCCCUGAAGUUAGGCACAGUCACCGGCGAAAUAUCUUUAUGGCAGAAAUGUGUUUCCUGCCCGUCUAACUUAGGUACUUCCCUCUGCAGCCAGCGUAAUCUUUCUAGAACACGUGUACCGGUAAUUACUGCUUCCACCCCCAGUUCUAGGCAAAGAGCAAGGCCGUUGCGCUCGUCUGCCUCGGAAAGUGGCUCCUCAGUGCCCUCAGACAAGUAAGUGUCAACUGUGCAGCAGACCUCUCAGAUCCAGGCAGCAUGUCCCUGCUCACCACUAGGCCCAUCUCAGCAGUCCAGGUGGACAUCCCCUGGAGCCUCUGUCACUCCCCCUCCGGGCACGGUGGCUCACGCCUGUAAUCCCAGCACUUUGGGAGGCCGAGGCGGGCAGAUCACUUGAGGUCAGGAGUUCAAGACCAGCCUGGCCAACAUGGUGAAACCCCAUCUCUACAAAAAUACAAAAAUUAGCCAGGCAUGAUGGCAGGUGCCUGUAAUCCCAGCUACUCGGGAGGCUGAGGCAAGGGAAUCACUUGAACCUGGGAGGCAGAGGUUGCACUGAGUCGAGACGUGCCACUGCACUCCAGCCUGGGCAAUAGAGUGAGACUCCGUCUAAAAAAAAAAGACAUAUUUUUGUCUUUUUCUCUAAGUACCCUUUGGUGAAAUUCUCAAAUAUGGAAAUAAGUCUGUUUUGAAUAUCAGGUUCAAGAACUUUGAAUCUAAUUGAAUUGACCCUUGUAUUUUUUUCAUGUUCUAAGAAUCAUACAACUGUUCUAAAAUAAUACCAUGCAGAAUUUGAGUUAUCUCAGAUGGCUUUGCCUAACUAGUGGCCACAACUUUGAGGUCUUUCUAUGGAAGCCUGUUUCCAUUGAGGAUUUCCAGGGGCCUUUAUUCUCAGGAGUUUGUCAUGGCAGACCACAGGCCCAGCUUUCCUAGUCUCCCCUUCCACCCCUAUUUGGUCCCUUCAUUUUUUAAUGGCUAACAAUAAAGACCUGAAGUAAUUGUAGCUUGAACAACUAGAGAUUGUUUGUUCUCACAUAACUUGAAUUCUGAAAAUACAUAGACCAGAUCUGGAAUGGGGGCUCUACAUUGUCACCAGGAAGCAGGCUUUCCUUUUGCUCUGCUGUCCUAAAAUUUGUCUCAUGGUCUCAAGAUGCCUUCUGGAGCCCCAACCAUCAUAUUUGCUUUCCAAGAAGGAAGAAGGAGAUUAGUGUAAAAAUUAUAUACCUCCAAGUCAAGUCAGCCUUCAGGAAGCCCAUCCAACAAUUGUUUAUGUCUCAUUGGCUACCACUGUUUGCAAGAGUGACAAGGAAUUAGCAACUGAAUAAAAUUCAGGAUUGUUAGUAAGUAGGGAGAGAAUGAAGAAGGGGAGAAUGAUUGGCCCAAGCCAUCUCCACUAUGCAUGGGUGCCUAUAGCAUCCUAAACACUUGCCAUUCAUAGUGUUUAUCACUCCGUGUUGUGAUUGCCUGAUACUUGGCUGUAUAUACCCACACCAGAAUGACGUUGUAUGUCCAGCUUGAAAGUGCAGAGGCAGUCCCUGGCACAGCCAGAAAAGCACUGAUUCUAGACAGAGUGGCAGGUAAAGAAGGAUGAGGUUUCGUGAUUAUCAAAAGGGGCAUGACUUAAAAUGAUCUAGAUGAAGUUAGCUAAUUGCGAUUUCUGAGGUUCUUGGUUUUGAAGAUGUAUAUAUGUGUUGGAUAACUUCACAUGUUAAUAGUGGUCUUUUUAUCUGUGUAAUAGAAUUUCUCAUUUAAUGCAGUUAGAUUUCUCUCUUUGGCUGAAUUUCUCUAGAAAAGAUCAAUAUUCUCUAGUUUCUCUGUGCUAUUUGAAGGUGGAAUAAAUUAUUUCUUUUAAGCCAAAAACCAUAUACAAUCCAUAACUGGACCAGUUUGUUGAAACUUCGUUGAUUAGUCUGCAGUGACUCUCAUCCCUGAACAAGAGGCUCAGCCUUGAGAUUUUUCCAUAUUAAAAUCAUAGACCACAGACUCUUCUCUCUGGUUUCUGAAGCAGUCUCGCAGGACAGCAAGACAUGUGAAUCAUACAUGUAAUUUAAAAUUUUCUGGUAGCCACAUUAAAAAAGUAAAAAGAAACAUGUAGAAUUAAUUUGAAUAAUAUAUUUUCUUUAACCCAAUAUAUCCGAAUUAGCAGUUUAACAUAUAACUUAUAUAAAAAUUACCAAUGGCACAUUUUUCAUUCUCUUGUUUUGGUAUUAUUUGAAAUCUAGUGUAUGUUUAACAGCACAUCCAAAUGUGGACUAGCUACAUUUCAAGUGCUCAGUAGCCACGUGUGGCUAGUAGACAGCACAGAUCUGGUAACGUGGUAUAACAGGACUUAUACCAUGUUAACACAUUUGGUCACUUAUUAUCUUAUUGAUCUCCUGUCUGGUCGUUCUACACAUUAUUGACAAUUGGGUAUUGCAGUUUCCAACUAUUAUUGUUGUAUUGUCUAUUUCUCCCUUCAAUUACGUCAGUUUUUGCUUAAUAUAUUCUGGAGCUCUUGUUAGGUGCAUAUAUGUAUAUAAUUCUUAAAUCUUCUUGAUGAAUGACCCUUUUAUAAUUAUAAAAUAUCUUUGUCUCUAGUAGCAAUUAGUACCUUAAAAACUAUUUUGUUUGAUAUUAGUAUAACCACUUCAGCUCUCUUUUGUUUACUCUUUGCAUGGUAUGUCUUUUUAUAUCUUCUUACUUUUAACCUAUUUAUAUCUUUGACUCUAAAGUGUAUCUCUUGUGGGCACCAUAUGGUUGGAUCAUGUUUUCUAAUCCAUGCUACCAAUCUCUGCCUUUUAAUUACAGAAAUUUUAAUCCAUUACUUUUAAUGUAAUUAUUGAUAAGGAAGGAUUUAUAUCUGCUAUUUUGCUUUGUGUUUGCUAUUUGUCUUUUGUCUUUUUUUUCUAUUUCUCCUUUACUGCCCCUUUCUUCUUUACAUUAAAGACAUUUUGUCAUGUACCA